GCAUCGGUGGUUUAGUGGUAAAAUUAGCCGUUGCCAUCGGCUAGCCCCGGGUUCGGUUAGUUUAGCACAUUCAACGUUCGGUUUCCAGCUCUGACAUUUCUUAGAUUCCCGGCCGAUGCA
rnacentral:tRNA from 1 species